GCUUCCAAUGAGUCGGGAGACAAUUGAUCGUCGUUCAUCUAAUAUGUUACCGCUGGCCCUGAACGUCGGCUCCACAACAAUAGUUGACAUUGGACAAGCUAAAAUUUCUUUGGCGAUCAUGGAGAGGAUGGGAAAGUUUUGAGCCUUUUGUGACCAGGGUUUUCAAUAGUGGCGAAUAGCGUGCUACAUAGCGUGCUAUCGCGCGCUAUGAUCAGCGAAUGCUGCAGAGCGUUUGCUGAUUAGCAAUUGUCCUAAAUAGCCCACGCUAUUCGGGACAAAAGCGUCGAUAGCGCACAUAGCGUGCGUUAUCGUGACCUAGCGGCCCAUAACGGGCGCUAUAAUUGCUUACAAAAUAGCUAGGGCAAAGGCGAGGAGGCACAUGCGUGUGAAUCGCGACCAUUGAGAAGGUAGGGCAGAGGCGAUAGGCGACGGCCGAUCGACGACUUGUGAGCGGCGAGCGGUAACCUGUGAGCGACGGCGAGGGACAACGAUUGGCUUUCUUCUUCCUUUCGUUUUCUUUGUUUAGUUUUUCGUUUUCGUUUUUUGUUUCUCGAAGGAGAAAAAGCGAUUUCGCGAUUUCCAGAAGUCGGGCAUUUGGAUCAAUCGAGUGAUCGAUUGGGAUCCUUUUUGUUCGAACACAAAGGAUCUAGAUCGAUCCAGACCCUGGAUCGAUCCAUAUCCUUUCUAUUCGAACAGAAAGGAUCUCGAUCGAUCACAGGAUUGAUCCAAAUUCCUUGGUUCAAUCCAAUGAUGGAUCCAGAUGCCUUGGAUUGAUUCUCAUUUUUUUGCUGAUUUGUUUCUAAUUAAUUAAUUAUUUGUUUUGAUUUUUUUCUUUUGUUUUUCUAGGAUUUUGAUUGUCUAGUUAGAAUUUGCAAUGUCUACAAAUUUGUCAAAAAAAAGAUAAAAAAAGAUAAAAAAAAGAUAUUAGUUGGAAGUAUUAUCAAAAUGAGUGGGGCAAAUCUGUUUGGUGCAAAUUUUGUCAUCAUAUAUCGAAUGGAGGGAUUACUCGUUUGAAGGAACAUUUAGCUCAAACUCAUAAAGGGGUUGCACCUUGUGUUAGUGUUCGGAUGAUAUUAAGAAAGAAAUUAGAGAAUCACUUAACAAAAUUAGAGCAUCUAAAAGCAAACAAAUCGAAUUAUUACGAGAGAUUGGUGAGGGUCUCCAGAGUAUUAGUACGCAAUCAUUAUAAGUUGGAAGUGUAGGGGGAAAUUCAAUUGGAUGUUCUGGUAGUGAUGAAUCAAAAGGUAAAGGCACUCUUCAUGGGUUUGUUAGUUUCGAACCUAGACAAGCAACUCUAAAUUCGGCAUAUAAAAAAGAUUUGUUGAUUGAUGUGAAGCGUAGAGUUGGUUGUUUUAUUUAACGCACUUCUAUUUAAUGUUGUGAAUGAUCUUUAUUGGUUGCCUAUGGUUGAGGGUAUUGUGGAAUAUGGAAGAGGAUUCAAGCCUCCUUCAAUGCAUGAGUUAAGAACUUGGAUAUUUAAAGCUGAGGUUGAUGGCAUCAACCUAAUAUAUGAGGAGCAUAAAAAGACAUGGGAAAAAUAUGGACGAUGGUUGGACGGAUGGAAAGAAUAGAAGUUUGGUCUAUUUUUUGGUAAAUAGUCAUGCUGACACUUUCUUUUUGAAAUCUAUUGAUGCAUCAGCUUCUAUUAAAAAUGGAGAAUUGAUUUUUAAAUAUCUUGAUGAUGUUGUUGAUGAGGUGGGAGGAAAAUGUGAUUCAAAUUGUUACGGAUAAUGCUUUGAAUUGCAUUAAGGUAGGGAAAGAAAUUAUGGAGACUAGACACAGAAUUUAGUGGACACCUUGUGCGACACAUUGCAUUGAUUUAAUGUUGGAGGAUAUUGCAAAGUUGAAGAUUUUUUCUAACACAAUUGUGCAUGCUAAGAUGGUUGUGAAGUUCCUUUAUUGUCAUGGGACUAUGCUUUUUUUGAUGAGAAAGUAUACAAACGGUAAAGAAAUUCUCCGUCCAGCUGUUACUCGCUUUGCUACUUCAUUUCUCACUCUUUAGAGUAUGUAUAAGGUUAAAAGGUCACUUGAACAAAUGUUUACUUCCGAAGAUUGGGUUAGUUCACCACUAUCUCAAACAACUCAAGGGAAGGUCGUGAAGAGAAUUGCUGUUAAUGAUUCCAAUUUUUGGCCGCAUGUUGCAUUUUGUGUUAAGAGUGUUGUUCCUCUUGCAAGUGUGUUAAGGGAAGUUGAUUCGGAGGAGAGAUCGCCCAUGGGAUAUAUUUAUGAGCUUAUGGAUAAGGCAAAAGAGACAAUAAAAUUUAAUUGUGGGGAGUUGACAGAAAAUACAAGCCCAUUUGGAAAAAAAUUGAUUCACGAUGGACUCCACAACCUCAUCAUCCUCUACACGCGACCGGGUACUAUUUGAACUCGUAAUUGCGUUAUGAAGAAAGAUUUUCUGAUUGUGAUGAAGUUAGAGAUGGAUUGUAUACUUGCAUGGGUAGGAUGUUGUCUUCUGAUGAUCAUCUUAAAGCGGACAUCCAAUUGGACUUGUAUAACAAAGUUGAAGGAGAAUAUGGAACUCCAAUAGCAAAACGAACAAGAAUGUUGCGAACUCCGGGUAAAAUUUUCUUGUAACUGUUCUUGUAAAAUUAUACUAGCACUUGUAUUUUAAAAUUAUAUACAUUCUUGUAAUUUUUUUUUAUGUUAUUAUUAGUCUUAUGGUGGGAACGUUUUGGAAGUAAGACACCCGAGCUUACUACAUUUGCAAUUCGAGUGUUUGGUCUCACUUGUAGUGCUUUGGGAUGUGAAAGAAAUUGGAGCACUUUUUGAAUCGAUUCAUACAAAAAAAGAGAAAUAGGCUUGAACAUGCAAAGUUGAAUGCGUUGGUGUUUGUGAAAUAUAACUUCAAGCUUAGGGAGAGAAGCAUUAGGAGGAGAGACAAGAUUGAUCCCAUUGUAUUUGAUGAAAUUAAUUCGGAUGAUGAAUGGAUAAUUGAGAAAGAAGGUCCAAUUUUCCAUGUAAUUAUUAAAUGACUUGAAGAUGAUGAAUUAUUUGAAAGUGAUCCUAUUGUGAGUGUGCCGUCGGCUACCUUUGAAAGUCUUUUCAACUCAGAUAAGUGAGUCGAAGAUGUUGAGAAUAUAGUUGAAGUUCCUCCUUCGAAUUCAAAAAAAAGAGUUGUUGAAAAUUCAAGUGGAAGUAAAGACAAACAAGCAAGGUUGAGUCUUGUUGAUAUGGAAGAUAAUCAUCUUGAUGCUGAAAAUAAUGGUGGAGUAAUUCCAACAACUUUUGAUAGUGUA